GGCCUACCANGNUGGUAACGGGUAACGGGGAAUUAGGGUUCGAUUCCGGAGAGGGAGCCUGAGAAACGGCUACCACUUCCAAGGAAGGCAGCAGGCGCGCAAAUUACCCAAUCCCGACACGGGGAGGUAGUGACAAUAAAUAACAAUACGGGGCUCUUUCGGGUCUCGUAAUUGGAAUGAGUACAAUUUAAAUCCCUUAACGAGGAACAAUUGGAGGGCAAGUCUGGUGCCAGCAGCCGCGGUAAUUCCAGCUCCAAUAGCGUAUAUUAAAGUUGUUGCAGUUAAAAAGCUCGUAGUUGAAUUUCGGGAUUGACGUAAUGGUCAUGCCUUAAGGGGUAUGAACUGUUACUGUUGAUUUCUCACCUUCUGGAGAAACUUGAUGUCCUUUAUUGGGUGUCUUGCGGAUCCAGGACCUUUACCUUGAAAAAAUUAGAGUGUUUAAAGCAGGCAUUUUUGCUCGAAUACAUUAGCAUGGAAUAAUAGAAUAGGACGGCAUGGUUCUAUUUUGUUGGUUUCUAGGAUCACCGUAAUGAUUAAUAGGGAUAGUUGGGGGCAUUAGUAUUCAAUUGUCAGAGGUGAAAUUCUUGGAUUUAUUGAAGACUAACUACUGCGAAAGCAUUUGCCAAGGAUGUUUUCAUUAAUCAAGAACGAAAGUUAGGGGAUCGAAGACGAUCAGAUACCGUCGUAGUCUUAACCAUAAACUAUGCCGACUAGGAAUCAGACGAUGUUAAUUUUUUAAUGACUCGUUUGGCACCUUACGGGAAACCAAAGUGUUUGGGUUC
rnacentral:rRNA from 1 species